UGGUAACCUUUAAAAUCUCUUAAAAAAUUUAAAAAAUUAUUUCUAGCCAUUGAAGUAAUUCUGCAUAUUUUUGAAAAUUCAAUAGAUUUAGCUAUUAGAGUUGUCAGCUGUAGUUAAGUCAACUCGAGACCUAGUCAGGGUCAACUUGAGGUAACUAUGAGUUAGAUCAAUAGAAGUAGAAGUUGCCUUAAGGUUUGAUC
rnacentral:lncRNA from 1 species